UACGUAGGGUGCGAGCGUUGUCCGGAAUUAUUGGGCGUAAAGCGCACGUAGGCGGAUCGUUAAGUCGGGGGUGAAAUCCUGGAGCUCAACUCCAGAACUGCCUUCGAUACUGGCGAUCUUGAGUCCGGAAGAGGUGAGUGGAACUCCUAGUGUAGAGGUGGAAUUCGUAGAUGUUAGGAAGAACACCAGUGGCGAAGGCGGCUCACUGGUCCGGUACUGACGCUGAGGUGCGAAAGCGUGGGGAGCAAACAGG
rnacentral:rRNA from 1 species